AGAGUUUGAUCGUGGCUCAGGAUGAACGCUAGCGGCGCGCUUAAUGCAUGCAAGUCGAGCGAUGAGGCUCCUUCGGGGGCCAUCAGCGGCAGACGGGUGAGUAACACGUAGGUGACCUACCCUGGAGAUGGGGAUAACGGAUGGAAACAUGCGCUAAUACCCAAUAGACUUGAGGCAUCAAAGCUUCAAGGAAAGCUUCGGUGCUCCAGGAGGGGCCUGCGGCCUAUCAGCUAGUUGGUGAGGUAACGGCCCACCAAGGCGACGACAGGUAGGGGGUGUGAGAGCACGGCCCCCCACAAUGGGACUGAGACACGGCCCAUACUCCUACGGGAGGCAGCAGCAGGGAAUAUUGCACAAUGGACGGAAGUCUGAUGCAGCGACGCCGCGUGGACGAAGAAGGCCUUCGGGUUGUAAAGUCCUUUUCAGGGGGAAGAGCGAGGACGGUACCCUUGGAAUAAGCGUCGGCUAACUACGUGCCAGCAGCCGCGGUAAGACGUAGGACGCGAGCGUUAUCCGGAUUUACUGGGCGUAAAGCGUCUGUAGGCGGGACAGUAAGUUGGGCGUGAAAGCUUCGGGCUUAACCCGGAGAGGACGUACAAGACUGCUGAACUAGAGGCCACCAGAGGGGCAUGGAAUUUCCGGUGUAGCGGUAAAAUGCGCAGAUAUCGGAAGGAACACCAGUGGCGAAGGCGGCGCCCUGGGGUGGGCCUGACGCUAAGAGACGAAAGCUAGGGGAGCGAACAGGAUUAGAGACCCUGGUAGUCCUAGCCGUAAACGAUGGAUGCUAGGUGUGGGGCCGACAGGCUCCGUGCCGUAGCUAACGCGAUAAGCAUCCCGCCUGGGGAGUACGGCCGCAAGGCUAAAACUCAAACGAAUUGACGGGGCCCCGCACAAGCAGCGGAGCGUGUGGUUUAAUUCGAUGUUACACGAAGAACCUUACCUGGGUUUGACAUGUACGUGGUAGGGAAGCGAAAGCGGACCGACCCUUCGGGGAGCGUACACAGGUGCUGCAUGGCUGUCGUCAGCUCGUGCCGUGAGGUGUCGGGUUAAGUCCCGUAACGAGCGCAACCCCUGUCCUUAGUUACAAGUGUCUAAGGGGACUGCCGGCGGUAAGCCGGAGGAAGGUGGGGAUGACGUCAAGUCAGCAUGGCCCUUAUGUCCAGGGCUACACACACGCUACAAUGGCCAGUACAACGGGCAGCGAAACCGCGAGGUGGAGCGAAUCUCAGCAAAGCUGGUCAUAGUUCGGAUUGCAGGCUGCAACUCGCCUGCAUGAAGCUGGAGUUGCUAGUAACCGCGCGUCAGCUAUAGUGCGGUGAAUACGUUCCCGGGGCUUGUACACACCGCCCGUCACGUCAUGGGAGUCGGUAACGCCUGAAGCUGGUAGCCUAGCUCGCAAGAGGGGGCGCCAUCGAAGGUAGGACUGGCAACUGGGACGAAGUCGUAACAAGGUAGCGGUACCGGAAGGUGCGGCUG
rnacentral:rRNA from 1 species